rnacentral:rRNA from 1 species
GAUGAACGCUGGCGGCGUGCUUAACACAUGCAAGUCGAACGAUGACUUUUGUGCUUGCACAAAAUGAUUAGUGGCGAACGGGUGAGUAACACGUGAGUAACCUGCCCUUGACUCUGGGAUAAGCCUGGGAAACUGGGUCUAAUACUGGAUAUGCACCGUAAAUCGCAUGGUUUUUGGUGGAAAGAAUUUCGGUCAAGGAUGGACUCGCGGCCUAUCAGCUUGUUGGUGAGGUAAUGGCUCACCAAGGCGACGACGGGUAGCCGGCCUGAGAGGGUGACCGGCCACACUGGGACUGAGACACGGCCCAG